rnacentral:ncRNA from 1 species
GGGGUUUGUUAGGCUCCCCUUGCCUCCCGCGGGGGAAGUCCGGUGAGAACCCGGCGCUGACCCGCAACGGUGUGCACGGGACCGCGAGUUCGGUCCUCGUGCGAGCCCGAUCGCCCGUGGGGAGCGUGUCGACCCG